rnacentral:rRNA from 1 species
UACGGAGGGAGCUAGCGUUGUUCGGAAUUACUGGGCGUAAAGCGCGCGUAGGCGGCUUUGUAAGUUAGAGGUGAAAGCCCGGGGCUCAACUCCGGAAUUGCCUUUAAGACUGCAUCGCUUGAAUCCGGGAGAGGUGAGUGGAAUUCCGAGUGUAGAGGUGAAAUGCGUAGAGAUCCGGAGGAACCCCAGAGGCGAAGGCGGCCACCUGGUUCAGCACUGACGCUCAGACACGACAGCAUGGGGAGCGAACGGG